rnacentral:rRNA from 1 species
GACGAACGCUGGCGGCGUGCUUAACACAUGCAAGUCGAACGGAAAGGCCCUGCUUUUGUGGGGUGCUCGAGUGGCGAACGGGUGAGUAACACGUGAGUAACCUGCCCUUGACUUUGGGAUAACUUCAGGAAACUGUGGCUAAUACCGGAUAGGAGCUCCUGCUGCAUGGUGGGGGUUGGAAAGUUUCGGCGGUUGGGGAUGGACUCGCGGCUUAUCAGCUUGUUGGUGGGGUAGUGGCUUACCAAGGCUUUGACGGGUAGCCGGCCUGAGAGGGUGACCGGCCACCUUGGGACUGAGAUACGGCCCAGACUCCUACGGGAGGCAGCAGUGGGGAAUAUUGCACAAUGGGCGGAAGCCUGAUGCAGCAACGCCGCGUGCGGGAUGACGGCCUUCGGGUUGUAAACCGCUUUCGCCUGUGACGAAGCGUGAGUGACGGUAAUGGGUAAAGAAGCACCGGCUAACUACGUG